CCUACGGGAGGCAGCAGUGGGGAAUAUUGCACAAUGGGCGCAAGCCUGAACCAGCAACGCCGCGUGCGGGAAGACGUAUCUAGGUAUGGAAAACUGCUUUAGUAGGGAGGAGAAUCACGAUACGUGUAUCAGAAGCAACGGCUAACUACGUGCAAGCAGCCGCGGCAAUACGUAGGGGGCUAGCGUUAUCCGGAGUUACUGGGUGUAAAGGGAGCGUAGACGGUUCGGUAAGUGUGAAGUGAAAGCGCGUGGCUUAACCGCGGAACUGCCUUUGAAACUGCGGAACUGGAGUGCUGGAGGGGUAAGCGGAAUGUCUAGUGUAGCGGUGAAAUGCAUAGAGAUCAGGCAGAACACCGGUGGCGAAGGCAGCUUACCGGACUGUAACUGACGUUGAGGCACGAAAGCGUGGGGAGCAAACAGGAUUAGAUACCCUGGUAGUC
rnacentral:rRNA from 1 species